AUUGAACGCUGGCGGCAGGCCUAACACAUGCAAGUCGAGCGAGUGGCGGACGGGUGAGUAAUGUCUGGGGAUCUGCCCGAUAGAGGGGGAUAACUACUGGAAACGGUGGCUAAUACCGCAUACCAUCGGAUGUGCCCAUAUGGGAUUAGCUAGUAGGUGGGGUAACGGCUCACCUAGGCGACGAUCUCUAGCUGGUCUGAGAGGAUGAUCAGCCACACUGGAACUGAGAAACGGUCCAGACUCCUACGGGAGGCAGCAGUGGGGAAUAUUGCACAAUGGGCGCAAGCCUGAUGCAGCCAUGCCGCGUGUAUGAAGAAGGCCUUCGGGUUGUAAAGUACUUUCAGCGAGGAGGCGUUACGCGCAGAAGAAGCACCGGCUAACUCCGUGCCAGCAGCCGCGGUAAUAC
rnacentral:rRNA from 1 species